GAAAAUUCACCAUCUUUCUUCUUCUUUUUCUUCUUUUUCUUUCGUCUUCCAUGGUUAGCUCAGACCCUCUUAGGGAUCUCAUCUUUCCAGAACGUUAUCCGCAUUGGGAUUCCUAACCCAUUUUUCUGUGCUUUCCUAAAUACUACACUGAUUAAUGCUACCAUUUGCGGUGCAAUAGACAUUGUUGCAGACUUAAAAGCUAAUGUAUAUCAGCUUGGUCCCC
rnacentral:lncRNA from 1 species